UUUUACAGUUUACCGAAUACCUACAAAAAAAGAGACUUGCCUCUCAAUCAACAUCGAUAAAAACAACCUAAAAAAAUAAAAAAUUCCCUCUGCAACUAAACAACAAUCACUAAUGGUGUUCCGUAUUUUCAAUAUCAAUCUUACGCCAUCUAUGUCCAGACUCCAGAGACGCAGCACAUUAUAAUCGAUAUUACGUAUAAUCAUAAAUCACAAACAAAGAAAUCUUCACUAUUACUAGGGAUUUCUUCUUCGCUUUUAUAGAAGCAAAACCCUCGCUAUCCUAACCCUAUUCUCAGCCAUCUAUUUCUUUGAUCCGUGUUUGUUAUGUUUGUUUUCCUCCUACCGGAAUCUUCAUAACCCUAAUCCAAAUCCUUCCUUUUUUAGAUUCUUCUUUUACGUAUUGAUUUUACAAACGAUCUUUUGUUGCAGGUAGUAUGACCUUUAUCCUAAAAGUUCUUUUUCAUGGCUUACUGGAACCUAAGAUGAAGGCGGUUGGUGCAAUUAAAAGGAAGAGAAUAAGAUUUUAGCGAGAGAGCUAGCUAGAGCUACAGUCAUGGAAUAUGGUGUUGCAUCUACGGCUGCUAUAGAGUGUAAGGAUGAGUGCGAUCAAGUCACGACUGUUAAGCAGCAGCUUUAAGUCCGUAGGUUCUUGCAGGUAUUUCUUCCGAUACCACAGCUACGGCGUCAAAGAAAUCUCUCAGCGUCACAUCCAACACUUAAAAGAUGAAAAAAUGGUUCUUGGCAGAACUGGGUCUCAUGCAUUCAGCACAUGAUGAUAAGGUUUUGUGAAUCGAUGUGGGAUAGCUCUGCAGCCUAUAUAUGCAACAUGAGCUAAUCGAACGAGGGGUACCACGCUAAGGAACGAACCGCUCAAAUUCCAUAUAAAUUUUCUCAGUCAAAAUCGUAUGUAAAUUUUAUCGAUGCUAACAUUUGCUGGGAUCUUUGUUCCAGUCAUCUCCUAUGAUAGGAUGAUGGAGACGUAAGAUGAGCUAUUUGAAAUAUUAUCUUCAGUUACAUUAGUA